rnacentral:tRNA from 1 species
GGGGUAUAGCUCAGUUGGGAGAGCACCUGCCUUGCACGCAGGGGGUCAAGAGUUCGAAUCUCUUUACCUCC